rnacentral:sRNA from 1 species
UUGGAAAGUUAAAAGUCGUAACAAGGUUUCCGUAGGUGAACCUGCGGAAGGAUCAUUACAGAAUGAAAAGUGCUUAACUGCAUUUUUUCUUACACAUGUGUUUUUCUUUUUUUGAAAACUUUGCUUUGGUAGGCCUUCUAUAUGGGGCCUGCCAGAGAUUAAACUCAACCAAAUUUUAUUUAAUGUCAACCGAUUAUUUAAUAGUCAAAACUUUCAACAACGGAUCUCUUGGUUCUCGCAUCGAUGAAGAACGCAGCGAAAUGCGAUAAGUAAUAUGAAUUGCAGAUAUUCGUGAAUCAUCGAAUCUUUGAACGCACAUUGCGCCCUUUGGUAUUCCAAAGGGCAUGCCUGUUUGAGCGUCAUUUCUCCCUCAAACCCUCGGGUUUGGUGUUGAGCGAUACGCUGGGUUUGCUUGAAAGAAAGGCGGAGUAUAAACUAAUGGAUAGGUUUUUUCCACUCAUUGGUACAAACUCCAAAACUUCUUCCAAAUUCGACCUCAAAUCAGGUAGGACUACCCGC